rnacentral:rRNA from 1 species
AUUGAACGCUGGCGGCAGGCCUAACACAUGCAAGUCGAACGAGUGGCGGACGGGUGAGUAAUGUCUGGGAAACUGCCUGCUGGUGGGGGAUAACUUCUGGAACCGGUAGCUAAUACCGCAUACCAUCAGAUGUGCCCAGAUGGGAUUAGCGUGUUGGUGGGGUAACGGCUCACCACGGCGACGAUCCCUAUCUGGGCGGAGAGGCUGACCGGCCACACUGGAACUGCGACACGGUCCAUCCGCCUACGAGAGGCAGCAGUGUGGAAGAUGGCACAAUGGGCGCAAGCCUGAUUGAGCCAUGCAGCGUGUAUGAAGAGGGCCUUCGGGUUGUAAAGUACUUUCAGCGGGGAGGCGUUACCCGCAGAAGAAGCACCGGCUAACUCCGUGCCAGCAGCCGCGGUAAUUC